rnacentral:lncRNA from 1 species
UUCGCAUGGUUAGUUUGAGCUGUAUUGCUGAGGUCGUGCGGUACCGCUCUCCGUUAUACGAACAUUGCUUUAUCUUCAUGUAGAUUCAUAUAUUGUGUUACCGAUAUCUCAAGUGAUAGAUGGUGAUGUCCAAGGCUAGUUUUGGCCGGCAACUGAACAGUAAACUUCUGUCAGGGUACUUUAGUUGCUGCUCUCGUCCCGUCACGCUAUUGUAACUGACUACGAAAGGAUGG